rnacentral:rRNA from 1 species
CCUCCAGAGGGGGACAACAGUUGGAAACGACUGCUAAUACCGCAUACGAUCCAAUCUCGGCAUCGAGACUGGAUGAAAGGUGGCCUCUAUUUAUAAGCUAUCACUGAAGGAGGGGAUUGCGUCUGAUUAGCUAGUUGGAGGGGUAACGGCCCACCAAGGCGAUGAUCAGUAGCCGGUCUGAGAGGAUGAACGGCCACAUUGGGACUGAGACACGGCCCAG